GACGAACGCUGGCGGCGUGCUUAACACAUGCAAGUCGAGCGGAGCGGCGAACGGGUGAGUAACGCGUGAGUAACUGCCCCCCUCUCUGGGUUAACAGUUGGAAACGGCUGCUAAUACCGGCUAGUGGGGGAUGACUCGCGUCCUAUCAGCUUGUUGGUGGGGUAGUGGCCUACCAAGGCGACGACGGGUAGCCGGCCUGGGAGGGCGGCCGGCCACAUUGGGCUGAGAUACGGAGCAAACUCGUACGGGAGGCAGCAGUGGAGAAUAUUGCACAAUGGGGGAAACCCUGAUGCAGCAACUCGCGUGCGGGAUGACGGGCUGCUGGUUGUAAACCGCUUCCAGCCAUGACGCGGUAGUGGCAGAAGAAGCACCGGCUAACUACGUGCCAGCAGCCGCGGUAAUUC
rnacentral:rRNA from 1 species